GACGAACGCUGGCGGCGUGCUUAACACAUGCAAGUCGAGCGGUAAGGCCCUUUCGGGGGUACACGAGCGGCGAACGGGUGAGUAACACGUGGGUGACCUGCCCUCAGCUCUGGGAUAAGCCCGGGAAACUGGGUCUAAUACUGGAUAUGACUCCAUGACGCAUGUUGUGGGGUGGAAAGCCUUGUGCGGCUGGGGAUGGGCCCGCGGCCUAUCAGCUUGUUGGUGGGGUGAUGGCCUACCAAGGCGACGACGGGUAGCCGGCCUGAGAGGGCGACCGGCCACACUGGGACUGAGACACGGCCCAGACUCCGUACGGGAGGCAGCAGUGGGGAAUCUUGCGCAAUGGGCGAAAGCCUGACGCAGCGACGCCGCGUGAGGGA
rnacentral:rRNA from 1 species